UGGCCUCUGCAUCAGCUCCUGCCUCCAGAU
rnacentral:piRNA from 1 species